GCUUCACUAGCUCAGUUGGCAGAGCGUCAGUCUCAUAUUGAAUUAUUUCAACGUGUAAUCUGAAGGUCGACAGUUCGAGCCUGCCGUGGAGCA
rnacentral:tRNA from 1 species